CUUCCUGGAACCCGGUAAUGUUUGAAAAGUCCGCGAGCCGCACCCGUGGCGGCUGCACCAAUCACUUCGGCAACAGCCCCAGUUCGACCAGUAAAGGUCCGUGUUAUUGGAGAACCGAUUCCGAGCUAACCAAUGGGAAGGGGAGAACCCUGGAGCAGCGUGAAGUCGCAGAUCUUCCAUAUUGGAACAGGGCCGCCCGGACCCCGCCCUGCGCCUGGGGGUGUUGACCGCGUGCUCGGAGGUCUUCUCUUCGGAGGCCCGCGUCGGCUUGAGUUCCCUCCGGGGAGUUGAUGCUGAGCCCCGGGGCCCUUCUCUUAGGAUGGCGGCGGGAUGAGUAGGCUUGUGUCUGCUGAGACCACGGAACUAGGGAACCGGAGAAGGGCUGACGUGUGUGACGCCUCGGGGGGGAAAGGCUGCGUGACCCAGCAUGAGGAAACCGACGCUGUGGUGAAAAGGCGGAGCAUAUGGAAGAACGGGCCCCAGGAUGUGAACCUUUGUUCUUAAAGUCAAAGCGUGCGAAGUCCCUGCUUAAGCGCAAAACCUCUCCAGAAGACAUCCACCGGCCUCCCGUAUUCUGGGAAGCCUGCCCUUGGGAAUUAUUAAGAGAGCCGGAUUCGGAGAAUAACAUUCGAUCAAAACUUUGUCGCUUGCUGUUCCCUCCGCUUUUCAUUACAAAAAUUGUCAAAUUCUUGAUUUUGACACAUUUUGCCCUA